UAAGGUCCCCAGCUCUUAGAAAGACCCAGCGCGCUGUGUCCUUGCCGUGGCCACCAGGGCCCGGUGGCCAGGCGAGCCGCACUGCGGGCGUCCCCAGCCUCCGCUCUAGAGGAGCGGCCGCAGACUGGAUGAAGGGCCUGGACUACUUGAGUGACAUUAAGAUCAGGAAUUGGGUGAUGUGUCGGUGAAAAUUCGGCUGUGUAUGAAGUCCGAAAUGUUGUUGCCUACAUUUUCUUCGAGGAUUUUUAUGAAUUCAUGGGUCACAUUUAAGUCUUUUAUUCAUUUUGAGUUUAUUUUGUU